UACGUAGGGCGCAAGCGUUUAUCCGGAAUUAUUGGGCGUAAAGAGCUCGUAGGCGGUUUGUCGCGUCUGCCGUGAAAGUCCGGGGCUCAACUCCGGAUCUGCGGUGGGUACGGGCAGACUAGAGUGAUGUAGGGGCGACUGGAAUUCCUGGUGUAGCGGUGAAAUGCGCAGAUAUCAGGAGGAACACCGAUGGCGAAGGCAGGUCUCUGGGCAUUAACUGACGCUGAGGAGCGAAAGCAUGGGGAGCGAACAGG
rnacentral:rRNA from 1 species